rnacentral:rRNA from 1 species
UGGCUCAGAUUGAACGCUGGCGGCAUGCCUUACACAUGCAAGUCGAACGGCAGCACGGGUGCUUGCACCUGGUGGCGAGUGGCGAACGGGUGAGUAAUACAUCGGAACAUGUCCUGUAGUGGGGGAUAGCCCGGCGAAAGCCGGAUUAAUACCGCAUACGAUCUACGGAUGAAAGCGGGGGACCUUCGGGCCUCGCGCUAUAGGGUUGGCCGAUGGCUGAUUAGCUAGUUGGUGGGGUAAAGGCCUACCAAGGCGACGAUCAGUAGCUGGUCUGAGAGGACGACCAGCCACACUGGGACUGAGACACGGCCCAGACUCCUACGGGAGGCAGCAGUGGGGAAUUUUGGACAAUGGGCGAAAGCCUGAUCCAGCAAUGCCGCGUGUGUGAAGAAGGCCUUCGGGUUGUAAAGCACUUUUGUCCGGAAAGAAAUCCUUGGUUCUAAUAUAGCCGGGGGAUGACGGUACCGGAAGA